rnacentral:rRNA from 1 species
UACGAAGGGUGCAAGCGUUACUCGGAAUUACUGGGCGUAAGGCGUGCGUAGGUGGUUUGUUAAGUCUGCUGUGAAAGCCCCGGGCUCAACCUGGGAAUGGCAGUGGAUACUGGCAAGCUAGAGUGCGGUAGAGGGGUGUGGAAUUCCCGGUGUAGCGGUGAAAUGCGUAGAGAUCGGGAGGAACACCAGUGGCGAAGGCGGCACCCUGGACCAGCACUGACACUGAGGCACGAAAGCGUGGGGAGCAAACAGG